rnacentral:rRNA from 1 species
UACGUAGGGCGCGAGCGUUGUCCGGAAUCAUUGGGCGUAAAGAGCUCGUAGGCGGCCGGUUGCGUCUGCUGUGAAAUCCCGGGGCUUAACCCCGGGCGUGCAGUGGAUACGGGCUGGCUAGAGUCCGGAAGAGGAGAGUGGAAUUCCUGGUGUAGCGGUGAAAUGCGCAGAUAUCAGGAAGAACACCCGUGGCGAAGGCGGCUCUCUGGGACGGUACUGACGCUGAGACGCGAAAGCGUGGGGAGCGAACAGG